AUGGACCACAAUGAAAGCAGAAUUUCCAACGGUGGGUGUGUAAAAGAGUCCCACAUCGGACAUGAACAUAUAUUUAUAAGUGGGAGAAAUCCUUACCUUAUUAGCCGGUUUUGUAUGGUUGAGUUAGGCUCAACCACAAUUCUAAAAAAUAGUGUCUUUUCUUGCUUCUGUCUGUGGGUUAAAUUGAGAACUGAUUUAUCAUGUAGGAAUAGUAUUAAUCAUGUAUCUUGUAAAAUAGUGGAUAUUUCAUAUAUUUGA